AUCCAGCUGAGACGAGUCCCAAAUAGGACGAAGUGCACAUCCUGGAU
rfam:Trichobilharzia regenti genome assembly, scaffold: TRE_scaffold0005469